GAUGAACGCUGGCGGCGUGCCUAAUACAUGCAAGUCGAGCGAACAGAUGAGGAGCUUGCUCCUCUGACGUUAGCGGCGGACGGGUGAGUAACACGUGGAUAACCUACCUAUAAGACUGGGAUAACUUCGGGAAACCGGAGCUAAUACCGGAUAAUAUAUUGAACCGCAUGGUUCAAUAGUGAAAGACGGUUUUGCUGUCACUUCUAGCUGGAUCCGCGCCGCAUUAGCUAGUUGGUAAGGUAACGGCUUACCAAGGCAACGAUGCGUAGCCGACCUGAGAGGGGGAUCGGCCACACUGGAACUGAGACACGGUCCAGACGCCUACGAGAGGCAGCAGUAGGGAAUCUUCCGCAAUGGGCGAAAGCCUGACGGAGCAACGCCGCGUGAGUGAUGAAGGUCUUCGGAUCGUAAAACUCUGUUAUUAGGGAAGAACAAAUGUGUAAGUAACUAUGCACGUCUUGACGGUACCUAAUCAGAAAGCCACGGCUAACUACGUG
rnacentral:rRNA from 1 species